rnacentral:rRNA from 1 species
AGAGUUUGAUCAUGGCUCAGAUUGAACGCUGGCGGCAUGCCUUACACAUGCAAGUCGAACGGAUUGAGGGGCUUGCUCCUCAGUUAGUGGCGAACGGGUGAGUAAUGCAUCGGAACGUGCCCAGUCGUGGGGGAUAACUACUCGAAAGAGUAGCUAAUACCGCAUACGCCCUGAGGGGGAAAGCGGGGGACUCGCAAGAGCCUCGCGCGAUUGGAGCGGCCGAUGUCAGAUUAGCUAGUUGGUAGGGUAAAAGCCUACCAAGGCGACGAUCUGUAGCUGGUCUGAGAGGACGACCAGCCACACUGGGACUGAGACACGGCCCAGACUCCUACGGGAGGCAGCAGUGGGGAAUUUUGGACAAUGGGCGAAAGCCUGAUCCAGCCAUGCCGCGUGAGUGAAGAAGGCCUUCGGGUUGUAAAGCUCUUUCGGACAGAAAGAAAUCGCACGGGCUAAUACCCAGUGUGGAUGACGGUACUGUAAGAAGAAGCACCGGCUAACUACGUGCCAGCAGCCGCGGUAAUACGUAGGGUGCGAGCGUUAAUCGGAAUUACUGGGCGUAAAGGGUGCGCAGGCGGUUAUAUAAGACAGAUGUGAAAUCCCCGGGCUCAACCUGGGAACUGCGUUUGUGACUGUAUGACUAGAGUACGGUAGAGAGGGGUGGAAUUCCUGGUAGCAGUGAAAUGCGUAGAUAUCAGGAGGAACAUCGAUGGCGAAGGCAGCCCCUUGGACCUGUACUGACGCUCAUGCACGAAAGCGUGGGGAGCAAACAGGAUUAGAUACCCUAGUAGUCC